AUGCCACCCAACAAUGCUGCAGCACUCACCGCGCUUAUUGAUCAUUGGAGGCCGGAGACACACACUUUCCAUCUUCGGACCAGGGAGAUGACCGUGACGCUCCAGGAUAUUGCUAUGAUCACCGGUCUUCCUAUCGAUGGCAAUCCUUUAUGUAUGAACACCGAUUCUGAUGGGUGGCGUGCGCAGAUGCAUGCCCUUAUCGGUAUGGUUCCUCCGGAGCCUCGGGAACCAGAAGCAGAAGAUAAGAAGAAGGAAAGAGUCGCAGACUAUGUUUGCUGA
rnacentral:rRNA from 1 species